GUAGGUGAACCUGCGGAAGGAUCAUUACCACAUCCAAAAAUCUUACAAAAACCCACACAUGUGAAGUUAUGAUGAGGAACUUUUCCAAUUCAUUCAUUUGAAAAAAACACAACCCCUUUUGAACUUUUUUUCCAAAAAGUAAUAAGCAAGACUACACAAAAUUGAGAAAAGAGAAAAACAACUUUUAACGGUGGAUCUCUUGGCUCGUGCAUCGAUGAAGAACGCAGCAUCUGACUGACUGAACUGUAUC
rnacentral:misc_RNA from 1 species